rnacentral:rRNA from 1 species
CGCUGGCGGCAGGCUUAACACAUGCAAGUCGAACGGUUGUAGCAAUACAGCAGUGGCAGACGGUGAGUAACACGUGGGAACCUUCCUAGGGGUACGGAACAACUCAGGGAAACUUGAGCUAAUACCGUAUACGUCCGUGAGGAGAAAGAUUUAUCGCCCUUAGACGGGCCCGCGUCGGAUUAGCUAGUUGGUGGGGUAACGGCCUACCAAGGCGACGAUCCGUAGCUGAUCUUAGAGGAUGAUCAGCCACACUGGGACUGAGACACGGCCCAGACUCCUACGGGAGGCAGCAGUGGGGAAUCUUGGACAAUGGCGCAAGCCUGAUCCAGCCAUGCCGCGUGAGUGAAGAAGGUCUUCGGAUUGUAAAGCUCUUUUGCCAGGGACGAUAAUGACGGUACCUGGAGAAUAAGCCCCGGCAAACUUCGUG